rnacentral:rRNA from 1 species
GGGUUGUGAGGUUAAGCGACUAAGCGUACACGGUGGAUGCCCUGGCAGUCAGAGGCGAUGAAGGACGUGCUAAUCUGCGAUAAGCGUCGGUAAGGUGAUAUGAACCAUUAUAACCGGCGAUUUCCGAAUGGGGAAACCCAGUGUGAUUCGUCACACUAUCAUUAACUGAAUCCAUAGGUUAAUGAGGCGAACCGGGGGAACUGAAACAUCUAAGUACCCCGAGGAAAAGAAAUCAACCGAGAUUCCCCCAGUAGCGGCGAGCGAACGGGGAGCAGCCCAGAGCCUGAAUCAGUGUGUGUGUUAGUGGAAGCGUCUGGAAAGGCGUGCGAUACAGGGUGACAGCCCCGUACACAAAAAUGCACAUAUUGUGAGCUCGAUGAGUAGGGCGGGACACGUGGUAUCCUGUCUGAAUAUGGGGGGACCAUCCUCCAAGGCUAAAUACUCCUGACUGACCGAUAGUGAACCAGUACCGUGAGGGAAAGGCGAAAAGAACCCCGGCGAGGGGAGUGAAAAAGAACCUGAAACCGUGUACGUACAAGCAGUGGGAGCACGCUUAGGCGUGUGACUGCGUACCUUUUGUAUAAUGGGUCAGCGACUUAUAUUCUGUAGCAAGGUUAACCGAAUAGGGGAGCCGAAGGGAAACCGAGUCUUAACUGGGCGUUAAGUUGCAGGGUAUAGACCCGAAACCCGGUGAUCUAGCCAUGGGCAGGUUGAAGGUUGGGUAACACUAACUGGAGGACCGAACCGACUAAUGUUGAAAAAUUAGCGGAUGACUUGUGGCUGGGGGUGAAAGGCCAAUCAAACCGGGAGAUAGCUGGUUCUCCCCGAAAGCUAUUUAGGUAGCGCCUCGUGAAUUCAUCUCCGGGGGUAGAGCACUGUUUCGGCAAGGGGGUCAUCCCGACUUACCAACCCGAUGCAAACUGCGAAUACCGGAGAAUGUUAUCACGGGAGACACACGGCGGGUGCUAACGUCCGUCGUGAAGAGGGAAACAACCCAGACCGCCAGCUAAGGUCCCAAAGUCAUGGUUAAGUGGGAAACGAUGUGGGAAGGCACAGACAGCCAGGAUGUUGGCUUAGAAGCAGCCAUCAUUUAAAGAAAGCGUAAUAGCUCACUGGUCGAGUCGGCCUGCGCGGAAGAUGUAACGGGGCUAAACCAUGCACCGAAGCUGCGGCAGCGACGCUGAUGCGUUGUUGGGUAGGGGAGCGUUCUGUAAGCCUGUGAAGGUGUGCUGUGAGGUAUGCUGGAGGUAUCAGAAGUGCGAAUGCUGACAUAAGUAACGAUAAAGCGGGUGAAAAGCCCGCUCGCCGGAAGACCAAGGGUUCCUGUCCAACGUUAAUCGGGGCAGGGUGAGUCGACCCCUAAGGCGAGGCCGAAAGGCGUAGUCGAUGGGAAACAGGUUAAUAUUCCUGUACUUGGUGUUACUGCGAAGGGGGGACGGAGAAGGCUAUGUUGGCCGGGCGACGGUUGUCCCGGUUUAAGCGUGUAGGCUGGUUUUCCAGGCAAAUCCGGAAAACUAAGGCUGAGGCGUGAUGACGAGGCACUACGGUGCUGAAGCAACAAAUGCCCUGCUUCCAGGAAAAGCCUCUAAGCAUCAGGUAACAUCAAAUCGUACCCCAAACCGACACAGGUGGUCAGGUAGAGAAUACCAAGGCGCUUGAGAGAACUCGGGUGAAGGAACUAGGCAAAAUGGUGCCGUAACUUCGGGAGAAGGCACGCUGAUAUGUAGGUGAAGUCCCUCGCGGAUGGAGCUGAAAUCAGUCGAAGAUACCAGCUGGCUGCAACUGUUUAUUAAAAACACAGCACUGUGCAAACACGAAAGUGGACGUAUACGGUGUGACGCCUGCCCGGUGCCGGAAGGUUAAUUGAUGGGGUCAGCGCAAGCGAAGCUCUUGAUCGAAGCCCCGGUAAACGGCGGCCGUAACUAUAACGGUCCUAAGGUAGCGAAAUUCCUUGUCGGGUAAGUUCCGACCUGCACGAAUGGCGUAAUGAUGGCCAGGCUGUCUCCACCCGAGACUCAGUGAAAUUGAACUCGCUGUGAAGAUGCAGUGUACCCGCGGCAAGACGGAAAGACCCCGUGAACCUUUACUAUAGCUUGACACUGAACAUUGAGCCUUGAUGUGUAGGAUAGGUGGGAGGCUUUGAAGUGUGGACGCCAGUCUGCAUGGAGCCGACCUUGAAAUACCACCCUUUAAUGUUUGAUGUUCUAACGUUGACCCGUAAUCCGGGUUGCGGACAGUGUCUGGUGGGUAGUUUGACUGGGGCGGUCUCCUCCUAAAGAGUAACGGAGGAGCACGAAGGUUGGCUAAUCCUGGUCGGACAUCAGGAGGUUAGUGCAAUGGCAUAAGCCAGCUUGACUGCGAGCGUGACGGCGCGAGCAGGUGCGAAAGCAGGUCAUAGUGAUCCGGUGGUUCUGAAUGGAAGGGCCAUCGCUCAACGGAUAAAAGGUACUCCGGGGAUAACAGGCUGAUACCGCCCAAGAGUUCAUAUCGACGGCGGUGUUUGGCACCUCGAUGUCGGCUCAUCACAUCCUGGGGCUGAAGUAGGUCCCAAGGGUAUGGCUGUUCGCCAUUUAAAGUGGUACGCGAGCUGGGUUUAGAACGUCGUGAGACAGUUCGGUCCCUAUCUGCCGUGGGCGCUGGAGAACUGAGGGGGGCUGCUCCUAGUACGAGAGGACCGGAGUGGACGCAUCACUGGUGUUCGGGUUGUCAUGCCAAUGGCACUGCCCGGUAGCUAAAUGCGGAAGAGAUAAGUGCUGAAAGCAUCUAAGCACGAAACUUGCCCCGAGAUGAGUUCUCCCUGACUCCUUGAGAGUCCUGAAGGAACGUUGAAGACGACGACGUUGAUAGGCCGGGUGUGUAAGCGCAGCGAUGCGUUGAGCUAACCGGUACUAAUGAACCGUGAGGCUUAACCUUACAACGCCGAAGGUGUUU